rnacentral:lncRNA from 1 species
GAGAACAGCAUGUGGGAAACCAGGGAAACUGUCCCCAUGAUCCAGUGACCUCCCACCAGGUCCCUCCCUUGACACAAUAGAGAUUACAAUUUGAGAUGAGAUUUGGGUGGAGACACAGAGCCAAACCAUAUUAAGCCUGUUCUGCUGGGACACAGAAUCACUUGCUCCAUCUCAUACAUUGAUGAUGAUUAAUUUGUAUGUGUACCUUCCAAAAAAAGAUGGUUGUGUUUGAACGGAGGCCUUCUGGACAGGAAAAUAUGGAGAGUGCGUGCUUUGGAUUCAAGACUGGGA